UGGAGAUUCUGGUAUAUCUGCAUUCCCUGAGGAGGAUAAUAUAUUGUGUUGGAAAGGAACAAUAACAGGAUAAAUGGUCAUCUGCUUAUGAUGUAAGAACGAUUCUUCUCUCUAUUCAAAGCCUACUAGGAGGUUAAAGUUGUAAAUGGUGUUCCACCAACAGGGGACUAUUCUUUUGCCAAGUAUAACAAGGUAAAUGUUGGUUCAGUCUUUAACUUCAUGAUGCCUGCUCUGCAUUGUUGGUUUGAAAAAGUUAUUCAGGAUGGUUGAUGCUUACAGUAGAGGAACCAUAACAUUGGUGACAUAAUUAUCGGUGAUAUAGUAGAACCUGAAGUAAUCUUAGUAGAAACUCCCUCUGUUGGUGGACCGUUUGAUUCAUUAACUGGUAGUAUGGGCAUAUCUUCCCGAGUUGCUUAUUCCUCUCCUAUAGAAACAGCUGGAUAAGGAUCUUUCAAAGGAUAUUACGAAGUGGGGUCUAGGCCUUUAGACAAAGAUGCACUCAGAACAUUUGAUAUGAAAUCUUUAAGCAUCUAUCCAACUGUAAAAGCACCGAUCGAGUUUUCAACUCAGGAGAAGAAUACAUAUUCAUCAUCACAAAAAUGGAAGAUAAUAAUGACCAUGAUUUCUUUUCACACAGAUUCCCAACAAUAACUCAGGUGGUGGAAGAGUUGAAGGAGCUAUGGAACAUGGCUUUACCAAUAACAGCUAUGAACAUGUUGGUUUUUGUGAGAGCUGUUUUGAACGGUGUUGACGAAUAUAAAUAUGAUGGUUUUGAUAGCGGGUUAUGUGGGGGUGUUUAGGAGGAAGGAGAUGAGGUUGAGUUUUUCUUCUUAUCAAUAGUUUUCGUACAACAGAAGGUGUCAAACUAGCAAAGAAAUAAGUACAACCAUUUGGAAAUAAGUUACAGGAAGAUGGUUUCCAAAAUAUAGCAUGCAUAUCAUCUAGCCUUCAAACUGUGAAACCAGGUAUUGUUUGUGGAGGUUGUGCUGCUUAAUACACACAUCAAUUAUUUUUCGUAUGGAUGUUAUUUUGCUAAAGCUUCAAGGUCAAAUGUGGAUUUAUGACAUCUCAUUGGUGUUUAUAUGUCUAAAAAUGUAUCGUUAUGUCUUUUUAAGUAUAUCUAGCUAUUUUCAGUCAAUGAAGACCCUAUUAAAUUCUGAAGGGAAUUUUCAUUCUCUACCAGCCAUGUUUUGUAC